UCUGUAGCACGUCUCGGGGGGGGAUCAUUAUCGGGUUCACAACUUCCCAACCCCUGUGAACAAACCAAUUGUUGCCUCGGCGGAUCAGCCCGCUCCCGGUAAAACGGGACGGCCCGCCAGAGGACCCCUAAACUCUGUUUCUAUAUGUAACUUCUGAGUAAAACCAUAAAUAAAUCAAAACUUUCAACAACGGAUCUCUUGGUUCUGGCAUCGAUGAAGAACGCAGCAAAAUGCGAUAAGUAAUGUGAAUUGCAGAAUUCAGUGAAUCAUCGAAUCUUUGAACGCACAUUGCGCCCGCCAGUAUUCUGGCGGGCAUGCCUGUUCGAGCGUCAUUUCAACCCUCAAGCCCAGCUUGGUGUUGGGACUCGCGAGUUAAAUCGCGUUCCCCAAAUUGAUUGGCGGUCACGUCGAGCUUCCAUAGCGUAGUAGUAAAACCCUCGUUACUGGUAAUCGUCGCGGCCACGCCGUUAAACCCCAACUUCUGAAUGUUGACCUCGGAUCAGGUAGGAAUACCCGCUGAACUUAAGCAUAUCAAUAAGCGGAGGAA
rnacentral:rRNA from 1 species